CAAGUGCAGUCACUAUAAAAUGAUUUUGUUGCAGGUGGUGACACUGGUCCAGGCUUUUAGAAAGGAUGCAGCCUCGGAAGCUACAGAGAAGGCUUUCUACACACGGUAUCCUCAGGACAGACAAGUGAUGGAGAAGAAUAGAUAUCAACUCCUUAAAAGUUUGAUAGACUCCACC